AUAACGAAGAGUUUGAUCCUGGCUUAGAACUAACGCUGGCAGUGCGUCUUAAGCAUGCAAGUCAGACGGAAUGUAGUAAUACAUUCAGUGGCGAACGGGUGAGUAACGCGUGGAUAAUCUACCUACGAGAUGGGGAUAACUAUUAGAAAUAGUAGCUAAUACCGAAUAAAGUCAAUUAAGAUGUUAGUUGAUGAAAGGAAGCCUUUAAAGCUUCGCUUGUAGAUGAGUCUGCGUCUUAUUAGCUAGUUGGUGGGAUAAGAGCCUACCAAGGCUAUGAUAAGUAACCGGCCUGAGAGGGUGAUCGGUCACACUGGAACUGAGAUACGGUCCAGACUCCUACGGGAGGCAGCAGCUAAGAAUCUUCCGCAAUGGGCGAAAGCCUGACGGAGCGACACUGCGUGAACGAAGAAGGUCGAAAGAUUGUAAAGUUCUUUUAUAAGUGAGGAAUAAGCUUUGUAGGAAAUGACAAAGCGAUGACGUUAAUUUAUGAAUAAGCCCCGGCUAAUUACGUGCCAGCAGCCGCGGUAAUACGUAAGGGGCGAGCGUUGUUCGGGAUCAUUGGGCGUAAAGGGUGAGUAGGCGGAUAUGCAAGUCUAUGUGUAAAAUACCACAGCUCAACUGUGGAACUAUGCUGGAAACUGCAUGACUAGAGUCUGAUAGGGGAAGUUAGAAUUCCUGGUGUAAGGGUGGAAUCUGUUGAUAUCAGGAAGAAUACCAGAGGCGAAGGCGAACUUCUAGGUCAAGACUGACGCUGAGUCACGAAAGCGUAGGGAGCAAACAGGAUUAGAUACCCUGGUAGUCUACGCUGUAAACGAUGCACACUUGGUGUUAAUCGAAAGGUUAGUACCGAAGCUAACGUGUUAAGUGUGCCGCCUGGGGAGUAUGUUCGCAAGAAUGAAACUCAAAGGAAUUGACGGGGGCCCGCACAAGCGGUGGAGCAUGUGGUUUAAUUCGAUGAUACGCGAGGAACCUUACCAGGGCUUGACAUAUACAGGAUAUAGUUAGAGAUAACUAUUCCCCGUUUGGGGUCUGUAUACAGGUGCUGCAUGGUUGUCGUCAGCUCGUGCCGUGAGGUGUUGGGUUAAGUCCCGCAACGAGCGCAACCCUUGUUGUCUGUUACCAGCAUGUAAAGAUGGGGACUCAGACGAGACUGCCGGUGAUAAGCCGGAGGAAGGUGAGGAUGACGUCAAAUCAUCAUGGCCCUUAUGUCCUGGGCUACACACGUGCUACAAUGGCCUGUACAAAGCGAUGCGAAACAGUGAUGUGAAGCAAAACGCAGAAAGCAGGUCUCAGUCCAGAUUGAAGUCUGAAACUCGGCUUCAUGAAGUUGGAAUCGCUAGUAAUCGUAUAUCAGAAUGAUACGGUGAAUACGUUCUCGGGCCUUGUACACACCGCCCGUCACACCACCCGAGUUGAAGAUACCCGAAGCUAUUAUUCUAACCCGCAAGGGAGGAAGGUAUCUAAGGUAUGUUUAGUGAGGGGGGUGAAGUCGUAACAAGGUAGCCGUACUGGAAAGUGUGGCUGGAUCACCUCCUUU
rnacentral:rRNA from 1 species